rnacentral:rRNA from 1 species
UACGUAGGGUGCGAGCGUUAAUCGGAAUUACUGGGCGUAAAGCGUGCGCAGGCGGCUUUGCAAGACAGAUGUGAAAUCCCCGGGCUCAACCUGGGAACUGCAUUUGUGACUGCAUGGCUAGAGUGCGGCAGAGGGGGAUGGAAUUCCGCGUGUAGCAGUGAAAUGCGUAGAUAUGCGGAGGAACACCGAUGGCGAAGGCAAUCCCCUGGGCCUGCACUGACGCUCAUGCACGAAAGCGUGGGAGCAAACAGG